GGCAGAGUAGGAGGGAAGGGACUGCGGCAGGAUCUGUCGAGGAAAAAUCUUGCAGACAGCGAUCCCUCGCCUUUUAAGCUCAGCCACGCGCGCCCCCCGCAGGGGCGGGCCUUCGGGAACUGAGGGAGCCCACUGGCUCCCGCGGCUGCGCUCUCACUCACUCUCUCCUUCCCUAGCUGCAGCUAACUCGGGUCGGGAAAAUGCGACAGCGACUGCCCACUCGAGGUCGUCAUGGCGACAGCCAGUGAACGUGUUCCUCUCCUCGGGCAGGCCCCCGAGUGUAGAGGAACUGCUUCGCGAGGCGCAGCUCAAUCUCCAGAGCCUGUUGCAAGGGCAGCAGUUUGAUAGACAUGCAAGUUUUCGACACUCGUUGUUUAACACAGAGACAGC
rnacentral:lncRNA from 1 species